rnacentral:rRNA from 1 species
CAUAACCUGGUUGAUCCUGCCAGUAGUCAUAUGCUUGUCUCAAAGAUUAAGCCAUGCAUGUCUAAGUAUAAACAUCUUUAUACAGUGAAACUGCGAACGGCUCAUUAUAUCAGUGAUUAUUUCUUUGAUGGUACUUCACUACAUGGAUAACUGUAGUAAUUCUAGAGCUAAUACAUGCAUAAAGGCCCGACUCUU